UGAUCCAAAGAAGUUUCGGUUUGGCAGUUUUCUGAUGGUUCCAACCUNNNNNNNNNNCUAACCAUGUUAUAGAACAAUGUCGGGUUGGGGUUCGUGAUCCAAAGAAGUUUCGGUUUGGCAGUUUCUGAUGGUUCCAACCUAGAUGUGGUUCUAGCCUAGAAAUGAGUUANNNNNNNNNNGGGUUCGUGAUCCAAAGAAGUUUCGGUCUGGCAGUUUUCUGAUGGUUCCAACAUAGAUGUGGUUCUAGCCUAGAAAUGAGUUAAUUGCUCAACCUCGUGGUAGCACUACUUGUGGAAGAGGUGGCUGGGCUAGUAUGGCCUAGGUGGUCGUGGAGGGAAAAGUGGGCAUGACCCGACCCGAUGUAUGAGAAAAAUGAUUUUGACCUUGUGAAUGAAAAUACAGGUACUUGCAAUGUCAAUGCAAACAAUGCUAGUUAAGGGGAUUCUGGUACGUAGCCAACCCAACCUAGUCAAGGACCCUCCCUAGGAGCUAGGGGAAAGGAAGUGCAUGUAUCUUAUAGAAUACCAU
rnacentral:lncRNA from 1 species